rnacentral:rRNA from 1 species
GCCGGAGGGAAACCGAGUCUUAACCGGGCGUUAAGUUGCAGGGUAUAGACCCGAAACCCGGUGAUCUAGCCAUGGGCAGGUUGAAGGUUGGGUAACACUAACUGGAGGACCGAACCGACUAAUGUUGAAAAAUUAGCGGAUGACCUGUGGCUGGGGGUGAAAGGCCAAUCAAACCGGGAGAUAGCUGGUUCUCCCCGAAAGCUAUUUAGGUAGCGCCUCGUGAAUUCAUCUCCGGGGGUAGAGCACUGUUUCGGCUAGGGGGCCAUCCCGGCUUACCAACCCGAUGCAAACUGCGAAUACCGGAGAAUGUUAUCACGGGAGACACACGGCGGGUGCUAACGUCCGUCGUGAAGAGGGAAACAACCCAGACCGCCAGCUAAGGUCCCAAAGUCAUGGUUAAGUGGGAAACGAUGUGGGAAGGCCCAGACAGCCAGGAUGUUGGCUUAGAAGCAGCCAUCAUUUAAAGAAAGCGUAAUAGCUCACUGGUCGAGUCGGCCUGCGCGGAAGAUGUAACGGGGCUAAACCAUGCACCGAAGCUGCGGCAGCGACGCUGAUGCGUUGUUGGGUAGGGGAGCGUUCUGUAAGCCUGCGAAGGUGUGUCGUGAGGCAUGCUGGAGGUAUCAGAAGUGCGAAUGCUGACAUAAGUAACGAUAAAGCGGGUGAAAAGCCCGCUCGCCGGAAGACCAAGGGUUCCUGUCCAACGUUAAUCGGGGCAGGGUGAGUCGACCCCUAAGGCGAGGCCGAAAGGCGUAGUCGAUGGGAAACGGGUUAAUAUUCCCGUACUUGGUGUUACUGCGAAGGGGGGACGGAGAAGGCUAUGUUGGCCGGGCGACGGUUGUCCCGGUUUAAGCGUGUAGGUGUGUGUUCCAGGUAAAUCCGGUUCACUUUAACACUGAGGCGUGAU